rnacentral:lncRNA from 1 species
GAAAAUUGAGGGAGCUGAUCCGAAAGAAGAAUAGAUCAAAAUUACCAACAAAAGCUUUCAACACCAAGAAAGAUUUCAAGCAAAAGCCUCAGGAGGAAACCUGUUUCGAAUGUGGAAGGCCUGAACAUUUCAAAAGAGAUUGCUUCCAACUAAAAAGAAAGAACAAAGAAAAUGGUUCAAAAGGGAAGGCUCUAAUGACAUGGAGUGAUGAUGAAUCUGAUCAUGAAGAUCAAGAAGAAGAAACUGCUCAACUGUGCUUCACUGGAAUACACAAUGAGGAAACAUCUGAGGUAAGUCUUGAACUUGGAGAAAUUACUAUUUCUGACUAUCUUGUUUUAAAAAAUGAAAACCUUCGUAUGAAAGAGAAAAAUGUUCACUUAAAAAGUUGGAUAAAUGACUUAAUGAAGGAAGUAGAAACUUUAAUUGAGGAAAAACAAGAAAUAGUUAAAGAUUGCUCAUCAUGUGAAGUAUCUCAGUUGAAUGCUAAA